CCAUUCAGCAUGGAGGCAUUGCCUGCCCAGUGACAACUGUUUAACGGCCGCGGUAUCCUGACCGUGCAAAGGUAGCAUAAUCAUUUGUUCUCUAAAUAAGGACUUGUAUGAAUGGCCGCACGAGGGUUUUACUGUCUCUUACUUCCAAUCAGUGAAAUUGACCUUCCCGUGAAGAGGCGGGAAUGCACAAAUAAGACGAGAAGACCCUAUGGAGCUUUAACUAACCAACCCAAAGAGAAUAGAUUUAACCAUUAAGGAAUAACAACAAUCUCCAUGAGUUGGUAGUUUCGGUUGGGGUGACCUCGGAGAAUAAAAAAUCCUCCGAGCGAUUUUAAAGACUAGACCCACAAGUCAAAUCACUCUAUCGCUCAUUGAUCCAAAAACUUGAUCAACGGAACAAGUUACCCUAGGGAUAACAGCGCAAUCCUAUUCAAGAGUCCAUAUCGACAAUAGGGUUUACGACCUCGAUGUUGGAUCAGGACAUCCUGAUGGUGCAACCGCUAUCAAAGGUUCGUUUGUUCAACGAUUAAAGUCCUACGUGAUCUGAUUCAGACCGGA
rnacentral:rRNA from 1 species